rnacentral:lncRNA from 1 species
AGUUAAUGCAAGUCAGGACAGUGAAACCUGGCCUUGGCAGCCUCAUUUUGCCAUCCAAAGAUCUGUGAAGACAAUGGCCCACAGCGAUGGGCUCACAGGUCAGGAUGUGGGUGAGCAGCUGGCUUCCCACAGCCAGGGUGCCACCAGGGCCUCCCACCCAUGACAGGGCACACACAGAGGGGUUGGCAGCAGCUACCCGGGGUUGGCACCUCCCUGCUGGGGCACAGAUGGUGACAAUGUCCCCUCUCUGCCUCUCCCAGCCUGCAACUGCAACCUGCACGCGCGGCGCUGCCGCUUCAACAUGGAGCUGUUCAAGCUGUCGGGGCGCAAGAGCGGCGGCGUGUGCCUCAACUGCCGGCACAACACGGCAGGCAGGCACUGCCACUACUGCAAGGAGGGCUUCUACCGCGACCUCAGCAAGCCCAUCUCCCACCGCAAGGCCUGCAAAGAGUGCGACUGUCACCCCGUGGGUGCGGCCGGCCAGACCUGCAACCAGACCACGGGCCAGUGUCCCUGCAAGGACGGCGUCACCGGCAUCACCUGCAACCGCUGCGCGAAGGGCUACCAGCAGAGCCGCUCCCCCAUCGCCCCCUGCAUAAGUAGGUGGAUCCUCUUCCUUUCUGUGGAGUAGGGAUUUUAACCCUUAAAACCCUGCCAGAGCCGCUGCCCAGGCUGGGGGUGCUGAACCCCACAGCGCUCGGGGUGUGGGGCUGUUUGGGGACCCCUCUGCUCUGCCCAAACGGGGUCCUGAACCCACAGCAGCUUCCAGCAGCUCUCCUGCCUCCUUGGGGUGUUCUGUGAGUGCAUCUACAGCCAGGUUUGCUGGGAAUUCCAUUUUGCUUCAUGGAACAGAGGUGCUCUAAAAUCACAUUUUUUGUGCUUAGGGGGAUCGCUACAGAUCACUAGAAACACGUUCUUCUCUCCAAAAUCAGGCUGUGCUGCACUGGCACGGAGCUCAGACCACAGGAGCUGCUCCUUUGAUGCAAUUUCCACCACAUCUGAGACCCCCUGGGUUGCUGCAGGGGCUCCAGCACUCACACAGCCCUGCCACGGGAGGGGUUAUCCUUGGCUUCCUUGGGUUUGCUUUUCAAUUUGCCUUCCCAAGGCAGGAACAGAUCCCAAAAUGCCUCCUUUGCAGCCUCUGUUCUGCAAACACCUGGAUACCCUCUCUCUCCCUGCCUGGGAAGGUGGGGUUCAGUCCUGUGCCCCUCUCUGCUGCCUGUGGAGUUUGCUGCUGUUGGACCUUCCAGUGCCUCAUGCUCCUUGUGGGACAUCAUCUGCCCUAACAAAACAAAAUAUCGAAAUUAGUGUG